rnacentral:rRNA from 1 species
UACAGAGGGGGCAAGCGUUGUUCGGAAUUAUUGGGCGUAAAGGGCGCGUAGGCGGCUUUGCAAGUGACGGGUGAAAUCCCUCGGCUUAACCGAGGAACUGCCUGUCAAACUGCAUGGCUUGAGACCGGGAGAGGUGAGUGGAAUUCCCAGUGUAGCGGUGAAAUGCGUAGAGUAUUGGGAGGAACACCAGUGGCGAAGGCGGCUCACUGGACCGGUACUGGACGCUGAG